GGUGCUGUAGCUCAGUGGUAGAACACUUGCCUGACACGUAUAAGGCCCUGGAUUCAAUCCUCAGCACCA
rnacentral:tRNA from 1 species